rnacentral:rRNA from 1 species
CUCCUACGGGAGGCAGCAGUGGGGAAUAUUGCACAAUGGGCGCAAGCCUGAUGCAGCCAUGCCGCGUGUAUGAAGAAGGCCUUCGGGUUGUAAAGUACUUUCAGCGGGGAGGAAGGUGUUGAGGUUAAUAACCUCAGCACCUGACGUUACCCGCAUAAGAAGCACCGGCUAACUCCGUGCCAGCAGCCGCGGUAACACGGAGGGUGCAAGCGUUAAUCGGAAUUACUGGGCGUAAAGCGCACGCAGGCGGUCUGUCAAGUCGGAUGUGAAAUCCCCGGGCUCAACCUGGGAACUGCAUUCGAAACUGGCAGGCUAGAGUCUUGUAGAGGGGGGUAGAAUUUCAGGUGUAAGCGGUGAAAUGCGUAGAGAUCUGGAGGAAUACCGGUGGCAAAGCGGCCCCCCUGGACAAAGACUGACGCUUAAGGUGCGAAAAGCGUGGGUGAGCAAACAGGAUUAGAUACCCUGGUAGUCCACGCCGUAAACGAUGUCGACUUUGAGGUUGUGCCCCUUGUAGGAGUCGCUUACCGAGCUCUCCCGUUAAGUUCACCGCCUGGGGAGUACCGCCCCAAAGGUAAAACUCAAAUGAAUCGACUGGGGCCCGUACAAGCG